AGAGUUUGAUCCUGGCUCAGGACGAACGCUGGCGGCGUGCCUAACACAUGCAAGUCGAACGGAACUGUUUUGAAAGAUUUCUUCGGAAUGAAUUUGAUUUAGUUUAGUGGCGGACGGGUGAGUAACGCGUGAGUAACCUGCCUUCAAGAGGGGGAUAACAUUCUGAAAAGAAUGCUAAUACCGCAUGAUAUAUCGGAACCACAUGGUUUUGAUAUCAAAGAUUUUAUCGCUUGAAGAUGGACUCGCGUCCGAUUAGUUAGUUGGUGAGGUAACGGCUCACCAAGACCGCGAUCGGUAGCCGGACUGAGAGGUUGAACGGCCACAUUGGGACUGAGACACGGCCCAGACUCCUACGGGAGGCAGCAGUGGGGGAUAUUGCGCAAUGGGGGCAACCCUGACGCAGCAACGCCGCGUGAAGGAUGAAGGUUUUCGGAUUGUAAACUUCUUUUAUUAAGGACGAAACUUGACGGUACUUAAUGAAUAAGCUCCGGCUAACUACGUGCCAGCAGCCGCGGUAAUACGUAGGGAGCAAGCGUUGUCCGGAUUUACUGGGUGUAAAGGGUGCGUAGGCGGCUUUGCAAGUCAGAUGUGAAAUCUAUGGGCUCAACCCAUAAACUGCAUUUGAAACUGUAGAGCUUGAGUGAAGUAGAGGCAGGCGGAAUUCCCCGUGUAGCGGUGAAAUGCGUAGAGAUGGGGAGGAACACCAGUGGCGAAGGCGGCCUGCUGGGCUUUAACUGACGCUGAGGCACGAAAGCGUGGGUAGCAAACAGGAUUAGAUACCCUGGUAGUCCACGCUGUAAACG
rnacentral:rRNA from 1 species